rnacentral:rRNA from 1 species
AGUUGUAGAAUCACUGGUGAAUAAGGGGCGGGCAAGUUCUGGUGUCAGGCGCCGCGGUAAAACCAGCACCUCGAGUGGUCAGGAGGUUUAUUGGGCCUAAAGCAUCCGUAGCCGGUUGCAUAAGUUUUCGGUUAAAUCUAUGCGCUUAACGUAUAGGCCGCCGAAAAUACUGUGCAGCUAGGGAGUGGGAGAGGUACACGGUACUCGAUAGGAAGGGGUAAAAUCCUUUGAUCUAUUGAUGACCACCUGUGGCGAAGGCGGUGUACCAGAACACGUUCGACGGUGAGGGAUGAAAGCUGGGGGAGCAAACCGGAUUAGAUACCCGGGUAGUCCCAGCUGUAAACGAUGCAGACUCGGUGAUGCAUUGGCUUGUGGCCAAUGCAGUGCCGCAGGGAAGCCGUUAAGUCUGCCGCCUGGGAAGUACGUACGCAAGUAUGAAACUUAAAGGAAUUGGCGGGGGAGCACCACAAGGGGUGAAGCCUGCGGUUCAAUUGGAGUCAACGCCAGAAAUCUUACCUGGGGAGACAGCAGAAUGAAGGUCAAGCUGAAGACUUUACCAGACACGCUGAGAGGUGGUGCAUGGCCGUCGCCAGCUCGUGCCGUGAGAUGUCCUGUUAAGUCAGGUAACGAGCGAGACCCCUGCGUCUAGUUGCUACCAUUACUCUCUGGAGCAGUGGAGCGAAUUAGACGGACCGCCACAGUUAAUGUGGAGGAAGGAAGGGGCCACGGCAGGUCAGUAUGCCCCGAAACCCUAGGGCUACACGCGGGCUGCAAUGGUAUUGACAAUGUGUUCCGAAUCCGAAAGGAGGAGGCAAUCAUCAAACAAUAUCUCAGUUAUGACUGAGGGC